UUUGUUCUAACCGUAUACUAUAAGAUUGCUUCCUGCUUCGUUAGUUCAUACAAUCAGUUUCAGAUAUGGUACACAUUCAUUUCCUUCGAGUCACCAAUAGUGCAUACAAUGCCUCCUAAGUUAACAUCAUAUUUUUUCUGUAGACCAUAGACUUGCUUCGAUUUGCUUGUGGUCUUCCUCAUUGUAGGGCAGAUCCAGGUGUCAUCACACUUCUUGCUGCAUGCAUCGGUUGCAUCCAUAUAUGUCUCCAGCUGUACCCACGGCUCUAAAGAUAACACACAACGACUCUUGAAGUAUAAUACUGUUGGACAUGGUGCAUGAGCAUAUAAGAUAUGGAGCAACAAUGUUAAUUACAUGUAUGGUAUAGUACUGAAGAAGCAUGUAAGGAAGCAUGUACUCUUUCUACAUGCUAUGUCACACCACCAUUGAUUUCUUGAAAAUUUUAGAUUUUAUUUGGCAUUAUUCAACAAGGAAAAAGGCAAAAUUAGGUCUGCCCCAUCAGCACAUUAUACGAAAUAUUUGAAGCAUGAUGAGAAUGUUCAAAUACAAACAAUUUCUUGAGGUUGAGCUCUUCUGCUCAAUGCAACAAAGAGUAGAAGUAUGUUUCAUUGCAACAACUGAAGAAAAAUAAGACAAAGUUAGGAAGCCUGAAUAUUAACUAAGAAGCAUCAAUUUGUUGUUAUCUCAACAUAAUUGAUGCCUAGUGGAAGCACAAAAUUUUGCAACUGGAAACUAGCAACGAAUGCUGCGAACAUGUGUUUGCAUCGACCAUUUUUUGAUCUACAAACGAAUUUCAUCCAUCGAUGCAAACACACUGGGAUGCCGAAGCAUAUCUCUGAUGCUUACGAAGCAUGGCUACUGCAGACAUCAUAUUGAGCAUAAUAUGUGUGUGGUGACACAUGAUGAUGGAACAAUGGUUGAUUCAUGCAGUGUAAUACCUUUUGGCGGAGAAACUUUGAAGAAAGGAAAGGGAUAGAAGGUCACUAGUUCGGUUCUACGGCCGACGGCAGGUACUCCGGCAUCCGAUUCAAACCUCCAGACUCCAGGAACCUCGUGAUGCUACGCAGUGCAGAUGGCGGGAACAACAACCUAAUGUCAGAACAGCGCACCGCAGAGGUAAUUGGGGCCGCAUCGAGGAGUAGGUCGGUAUAGAGGAUCAGAUGUGGGCGCGUUGUGGAUUCCAUCGCGGGGUAGAUUGCGUCUUCAGCGGCGAGGUGUGAAGGAAAUAUGGUGCCAAUGAGCUUGCAUCUAGGAUGCGUAAUAGGAGAGAACAGGGGCGGCGUUGUUGACGGCGAG
rnacentral:lncRNA from 1 species